UACGUAGGGGGCAAGCGUUGUCCGGAUUUAUUGGGCGUAAAGAGCGUGUAGGCGGCUUUACAGGUCCGUUGUGAAAACUCGAGGCUCAACCUCGAGACGCCGGUGGAAACCGUAAGGCUAGAGUCCGGAAGAGGAGAGUGGAAUUCCUGGUGUAGCGGUGAAAUGUGUAGAGAUCGGGAGGAACACCGGUGGCGAAGGCGGGUCUCUGGACAGUUCCUGACGCUGAGGCACGAAGGUCAGGGGAGCAAACGGG
rnacentral:rRNA from 1 species